GGAGUUAGCCGGUGCUUCUUCUGCGAGUAACGUCACAGAUGUAAGGUAUUAACUUACACCCUUUCCUCCUCGCUGAAAGUGCUUUACAACCCGAAGGCCUUCUUCACACACGCGGCAUGGCUGCAUCAGGGUUUCCCCCAUUGUGCAAUAUUCCCCACUGCUGCCUCCCGUAGGAGUCUGGGCCGUGUCUCAGUCCCAGUGUGGCUGAUCAUCCUCUCAGACCAGCUAGGGAUCGUCGCCUAGGUGAGCCUUUACCUCACCUACUAGCUAAUCCCACCUGGGCUUAUCCAUCAGCGCAAGGCCCGAAGGUCCCCUGCUUUCCCCCGUAGGGCGUAUGCGGUAUUAGCAGUCGUUUCCAACUGUUAUCCCCACAAAUGGGCAAAUUCCCAGGCAUUACUCACCCGUCCGCCGCUCGUCAUCUUCAAAGCAAGCUUUUGAAUGUUACCGCUCGACUUGCAUGUGUUAGGCCUGCCGCCAGCGUUCAAUCUGAGCCAGGAUCAAACUCUGA
rnacentral:rRNA from 1 species